rnacentral:rRNA from 1 species
GGGGUACUCCGAGCGGCGAACGGGUGAGUAACACGUGAGCAACCUGCCCUAGGCUUUGGGAUAACCCCGGGAAACCGGGGCUAAUACCGAAUAGGACCUCUGACCGCAUGGUUGGUGGUGGAAAGUUUUUCGGCCUGGGAUGGGCUCGCGGCCUAUCAGCUUGUUGGUGGGGUGAUGGCCUACCAAGGCGACGACGGGUAGCCGGCCUGAGAGGGCGACCGGCCACACUGGGACUGAGACACGGCCCAGACUCCUACGGGAGGCAGCAGUGGGGAAUAUUGCACAAUGGGCGGAAGCCUGAUGCAGCGACGCCGCGUGAGGGAUGACGGCCUUCGGGUUGUAAACCUCUUUCAGCAGGGACGAAGCGUAAGUGACGGUACCUGCAGAAGAAGCGCCGGCCAACUACGUGCCAGCAGCCGCGGUAAGACGUAGGGCGCGAGCGUUGUCCGGAUUUAUUGGGCGUAAAGAGCUCGUAGGCGGCUUGUCGCGUCGACUGUGAAAACCCGCAGCUCAACUGCGGGCCUGCAGUCGAUACGGGCAGGCUAGAGUUCGGUAGGGGAGACUGGAAUUCCUGGUGUAGCGGUGAAAUGCGCAGAUAUCAGGAGGAACACCGGUGGCGAAGGCGGGUCUCUGGGCCGAUACUGACGCUGAGGAGCGAAAGCGUGGGGAGCGAACAGGAUUAGAUACCCUGGUAGUCCACGCUGUAAACGUUGGGC